AAAGAAACUAACAAGGAUUCCCCUAGUAACGGCGAGUGAAGAGGGAAGAGCNNNAAUUUUAANUUUGCCUUGUUUUCAAGGUCGAGUNNNNNUUGAAGAAGCGUUUUCUUGGGCUCGCGGCCGGUAGAAGUUCUUUGGAACAGGACAUCAUAGAGGGUGACAAUCCCGUCUGCGACCGGUCGUGCGUUCAUMUACGAUACGCUUUCAAAGAGUCGAGUUGUUUGGGAUUGCAGCUCCAAAUGGGUGGUAAACAUCACCUAAGGCUAAAUAUUGGCGAGAGACCGAUAGCGAACAAGUACCGUGAGGGAAAGAUGAAAAGAACUUUGAAAAGAGAGUUAAACAGUACGUGAAAUUGUUGAAAGGGAAACGAUUGAAGUCAGUCGUGCUGGCGCGAAAUCAACCUUCUCGUCUUGAGAUCACAUGGCGUGGCGAGCCUCAAAACCGNNNCGAAGCGUGAACUCUUGGUGAAAUGGAGCACUUUCGUGUCCGGUGGUUAACAUCAAUUUCGAACGUCAUAAAAAGGCUGGAGGGAUGUGGCUCCUUCGGGAGUGUUAUAACCUUUAGCGGAAUGUGGUGAUCGGGAUUGAGGAUUGCAACGAAUACCUUUAGGGCUGUUCCACCUGGCUUCUCAUUGGUAUCCUGGU
rnacentral:rRNA from 1 species